rnacentral:rRNA from 1 species
CACGUAGGCGGAUCUUUAAGUCAGGGGUGAAAUCCCGAGGCUCAACCUCGGAACUGCCUUUGAUACUGGAGGUCUCGAGUCCGGGAGAGGUGAGUGGAACUGCGAGUGUAGAGGUGAAAUUCGUAGAUAUUCGCAAGAACACCAGUGGCGAAGGCGGCUCACUGGCCCGGUACUGACGCUGAGGUGCGAAAGCGUGGGGAGACAAACAGGAUUAGACUACCCGUGGUAGUCCACGACCGUAAACGAUGGAUGCUAGCCGGUUGGGGAGCUUGCUCUUCAGUGGCGCAGCUAACGCUUUAAGCAUCCCGCCUGGGGAGUACGGUCGCAAGAUUAAA